rnacentral:rRNA from 1 species
UCCUGGCUCAGGACGAACGCUGGCGGCAUGCCUAACACAUGCAAGUCGAACGGAGUAAUGACUUCGGUUAUUACUUAGUGGCGAACGGGUGAGUAACACGUGAAUAAUCUGCCCUGUACGAUGGGAUAACAGCUGGAAACGGCUGCUAAUACCGUAUAUGACCACGCCGAGGCAUCUCGGAGGGGUGAAAGCGCUUAAGCGGUACAGGAUGAGUUCGCGUCCAAUUAGCUAGUUGGUGAGGUAACGGCCCACCAAGGCGACGAUUGGUAGCCGACCUGAGAGGGUGAUCGGCCACACUGGAACUGAGACACGGUCCAGACUCCUACGGGAGGCAGCAGUGGGGAAUAUUGGGCAAUGGAGGAAACUCUUUAACCCCCAGCAAUGCCGCGUGAGUGAUGAAGGUCUUCGGAUUGUAAAGCUCUUUGAUUGGGGACGAAUAAAUGACGGUACCCAAGGAACAAGCCCCGGCUAACUAUGUGCCAGCCGCCGC